rnacentral:rRNA from 1 species
GACGGGACCGCACAAGCGGUGGAUGAUGUGGAUUAAUUCGAUGCAACGACGAAAACCUUACCUACCCUUGACAUGUCCGGAAUCCCGAAGAGAUUUGGGAGUGCUCGCAAGAGAACCGGAACACAGGUACUGCAUGGCUGUCGUCAGCUCGUGUCGUGAGAUGUUGGGUUAAGUCCCGCAACGAGCGCAACCCUUGUCAUUAGUUGCCAUCAUUUGGUUGGGCACUCUAAUGAGACUGCCGGUGACAAACCGGAGGAAGGUGGGGAUGACGUCAAGUCCUCAUGGCCCUUAUGGGUAGGGCUUCACACGUCAUACAAUGGUCGGUACAGAGGGUUGCCAACCCGCGAGGGGGAGCUAAUCCCACAAAGCCGAUCGUAGUCCGGAUCGCAGUCUGCAACUCGACUGCGUGAAGUCGGAAUCGCUAGUAAUCGUGGAUCAGCAUGUCACGGUGAAUACGUUCCCGGGUCUU